UACGUAGGGGGCAAGCGUUGCCCGGAUUUACUGGGCGUAAAGGGAGCGUAGGUGGAUAUUUAAGUGGGAUGUGAAAUCCCCAGGCUUAACCUGGGGGCUGCAUUCGAAACUGGAUGUCUAGAGUGCAGGAGAGGAGAGUGGAAUUCCUAGUGUAGCGGUGAAAUGCGUAGAGAUUAGGAAGAACACCAGUGGCGAAGGCGACUCUCUGGACUGUAACUGACACUGAGGCUCGAAAGCGUGGGGAGCAAACAGG
rnacentral:rRNA from 1 species